rnacentral:rRNA from 1 species
UCAGAUUGAACGCUGGCGGCAGGCCUAACACAUGCAAGUCGAGCGGUAGAGAGAAGCUUGGCUUCUCUUGGAGAGCGGCGGACGGUGAGUAAUGCCUAGGAAUCUGCCUGGUAGUGGGGGAUAACGUUCGGAAACGGACGCUAAUACCGCAUACGUCCUACGGGAGAAAGCAGGGGACCUUCGGGCCUUGCGCUAUCAGAUGAGCCUAGGUCGGAUUAGCUAGUUGGUGAGGUAAUGGCUCACCAAGGCGACGAUCCGUAACUGGUCUGAGAGGAUGAUCAGUCACACUGGAACUGAGACACGGUCCAGACUCCUACGGGAGGCAGCAGUGGGGAAUAUUGGACAAUGGGCGAAAGCCUGAUCCAGCCAUGCCGCGUGUGUGAAGAAGGUCUUCGGAUUGUAAAGCACUUUAAGUUGGGAGGAAGGGCAGUUACCUAAUACGUGAUUGUUUUGACGUUACCGACAGAAUAAGCACCGGCUAACUCUGUG